GACGAACGCUGGCGGCGUGCUUAACACAUGCAAGUCGAACGGAAAGGCCCUGCUUUUGUGGGGUGCUCGAGUGGCGAACGGGUGAGUAACACGUGAGUAACCUGCCCUUGACUUUGGGGUAACUUCAGGAAACUGGGGCUAAUACCGGAUAGGAGCUCCUGCUGCAUGGUGGGGGGUGGAACGUUUCGGCGGUUGGGGAUGGACUCGCGGCUUAUCAGCUUGUUGGUGGGGUAGUGGCUUACCAAGGCUUUGACGGGUAGCCGGCCUGAGAGGGUGACCGGCCACAUGGGGACUGAGAUACGGCCCAGACUCCUACGGGAGGCAGCAGUGGGGAAUAUUGCACAAUGGGCGGAAGCCUGAUGCAGCAACGCCGCGUGCGGGAUGACGGCCUUCGGGUUGUAAACCGCUUUCGCCUGUGACGAAGCGUGAGUGACGGUAAUGGGUAAAGAAGCACCGGCUAACUACGUG
rnacentral:rRNA from 1 species